rnacentral:rRNA from 1 species
UACGUAGGGGGCAAGCGUUGUCCGGAAUUAUUGGGCGUAAAGCGCGCGCAGGCGGUCAUUUAAGUCUGGUGUUUAAUCCUAGGGCUCAACCCUAGGUCGCACUGGAAACUGGGUGACUUGAGUACAGAAGAGGAAAGUGGAAUUCCACGUGUAGCGGUGAAAUGCGUAGAGAUGUGGAGGAACACCAGUGGCGAAGGCGGCUUUCUGGACGAUAACUGACGCUGAGACGCGAAAGCGUGGGGAGCAAACAGG